CAGUAGCCGCGGUAAUACGUAGGUGGCAAGCGUUGUCCGGAAUUAUUGGGCGUAAAGGGCGCGUAGGCGGACAGUUCAGUCGGGGGUGAAAGCCCGGGGCUCAACCUCGGAAUUGCCUUCGAUACUGGCUGUCUUGAGUAUGAGAGAGGUGUGUGGAACUCCGAGUGUGGAGGUGAAAUUCGUAGAUAUUCGGAAGAACACCAGUGGCGAAGGCGACACACUGGCUCAUUACUGACGCUGAGGCGCGAAAGCGUGGGGAGCAAACAGGAUUAGAUACCCCAGUAGUCCCUGUCUCUUAUAC
rnacentral:rRNA from 1 species